UACAUGGGGUGCAAACGUUGCUCGGAAUCAUUGGGCGUAAAGCGCGCGUAGGCGGUUAUUUAAGUUGGAUGUGAAAGCCCUCGGCCUAACUGAGGAAGUGCAUCCAAAACUGAAUAGCUAGAGUACGAAAGAGGGUCGCGGAAUUCCCGGUGUAGAGGUGAAAUUCGUAGAUAUCGGGAGGAACACCGGUGGCGAAGGCGGCGACCUGGGUCGAGACUGACGCUGAGGCGCGAAAGCGUGGGAGCAAACAGG
rnacentral:rRNA from 1 species